UUGCCAUGAGCUAUGGUACAGGUCGCAGACGCAGCUCAGAUCUGGUGUCUACCUAGGCCAGCAGCUGUAGCUCUGAUUAGACCCCUGGCCUGGGAACCUCCACAUGCCGCGGGUGUGGCACCAAGAUGCAAAAACAAAAAAAACCAAAAACAACCUUUUGUUGUACGCUUGGGUGUGGCCAUGGGUCUCAAACACAGCUUGUGUUGGACAUCCUCCCCGGCAGUGCAUUUUAGAUGGACCUCAACGUGCCUCACAUGCCACAGAGUAAAUGGACUCAACUGUACCAACCAAGUCCUUCACUGACAAACGAGCGCUAGCUCUAGCUUUUCACUCUGCCCCCUUAUAUUCCCUGGGCGUGUCUCUAGACACAUGAAGGAGAACUUCUUUAGGGUAGAUACCCAGACGCUCUGGUACCUAAGGCCCAGCGCCAGGGCUCAGUGGUGCACAGCCAGACCGGUCCCAGCCCCACGGAGCCGUGAGCCCACUGUGAGCUCGGACGCCUGUCGUCCGCGGGGUGCCCAGGCUGGGGAGGCAGGGCCAGCUUCCUCUGGCGGAAACAUCUGAGCUGGGUCCUGGUGGAGGUGGCCACGAGAGAGGGACAGACGUUAGAGUGUCCAGGGAGGGGCAGUGGGGUGAUCCCGAGCCUGGGAGGAGCACACGCCUGCGAGGAGCAAGCGGGAGCCGGGGUGUGGCUCCAUGGGAGGAAGAUGCAGGCCCUGGGAUGGAGACCCUGCUGGGGAGGGGGGCCAGGGCGAGACCCAGGCUCGGAGCAGAAGUGAUUCGAUCUGUACCUCAGCAAGCGAGCACCUGGGGGGCCAGGAAAGAGAGAGCGGCCACGCGACCCCCUGGGCCCCAGGGAAGGGCACAGCGGUGGGCAGCCCAAGGGGGAAGGCGUCUCCCCGCUCGGAAAACUGCAGAGGGACCAAGAAUGUAUGGCUAGACCUGAAGUCAGGUGACAGGACAGGCGAGCACUCGGAGGCCGGGACCACAGGAUCUUCAUCUGGUGGCUGGGUCGCUGUCCAACUGGAGGCAGGAGCCUGGAGAGUGCUUGCACUACGGGACUUGGUGCAGGGAGCAGAGCGCGCAGGGAUGAAGGGGCUGAGGAGUCCAGCGGGGGGCGCAGAGGUGGAACCAGCAGGAAGCCGCCCCACCCUUAAGCCGGCAGGACCGAGGGAGGGAGUGGCAGUCCUGCAGCCUGGGGCUGGGGACAGAAGAACCUCGGUGGCAGUUGCUGUCAGAGAGCUUUCUGGAGACAGAGGGGAGAAACCCUCCAGUCUCCCCCUGGCUCCCCCCAUUGGCCACACCCAGUGACACCAGCACUUGGGACACGUGGCCACAGGGCCAAGCUUCGGCCCCAUGCCCAGGGAGGAGAGGAAGGACGAGGAACAGCCCCAGGGCCAACACACCCAGACCAGCACCGCCAGCCGGGCCUCUGGCAGCCGGAGUAGCACCUGGUGCAGGAGACACGCCGCCUAAAAGCAUAAAGAAAGCCCGAUGGCUUCAGAGCCCCUCUGGGGCGCCGAUGGAUACAUUUCCUGAGAGUUGCUGCCCCUGCUCUCAGACUGACAGGCCUCCUUAUCCGCAGCCCGGCCGCACAGCCCGCACUCAAUGGCAGGUGGAUAGUGCCUUCUCUCAAACAGAAGCCCCACCCCUCACGGCCCCACAAACGUCACUACUGCCCAGGGGAGACUGUUUCCACACUGUGAAGCAGGAGGGACCCCAAAAGUUCAAGGAUAAGAACCAGGAGGCUGAGAUGCUCCGAUCAGCUGCAGGUCACUGUGAGGCCCCUGCACACAGGCGAGAGAACCCUCCUCACCGGCCCAGUCCACCCCGACGUCCUGGUCGGGGUCUCUGGCAGCUGGCGCAGAGAGAGGCUUGCUGCCAGUCAUGCUCCUGCUAGAGUCCAGCUGGGAGAAGGCACGGAGACGAGGUGAGGGCUUUGCGGCUGCCCGGCUCUGCCAGUAACCAGCUAGGUGACCACGGGUCAGCUCCAGCCCCAGAAAACGGGAAGGAUACGAUCUCCCUCCGGGGCUGUUGGGAAAUGUCUGAAACAGAGCCUGAGUCCUCCAAAGAUGACCCUUGGGAGAGCCGUGCACUGCCUCUUCUCUCACUGGAACAAAGGGCCCCAUUCCCGGCCCACGGUGGCCGCCCCCGACAGAGAGCUACGUUACUAUUAAUGAUGCCAGCACUGACCGGGCGCUUCCACGUGCCAGCCUCAUCCUCAGGAGUUCACAGCUAGGGAGCCACUUAACCUACACAAGCCUGGGGACUAGGAAGCACCGUUAUACCCACUUUACAGAUGAGGAGACUGAGGCAAUGAGAGGCUUGGCAUGAACGCACCAACACACAGUCUGUAAGUGGUGGAGCCAGAACUCCAGAGCUGACCCAGUGAAUCACUACUCUAGCACUACCCGUUCUGGGUGCCUGCUGUGUGCCAGGAACCACGCAAAAGUCCCCCCAGGCUGUGGAUGAAGAAAGGGAGGCCCAGUGAGAAGCCACUUGUCCAGGGUCACAGACUGACAAGCACCCACGUAGGUUGGAACCCAGGUGGUCUCACUGCAGAAGUACGCUCCCGACCUGCAAGAUCAGCCUGGGAUGAAGGUCGAGUCAGGCGACCCCUUCUGCCCUCCUCGCACCAUUUGUGGAAACUUCUCUCACCCUCUUCCUCCGGGGGUGGCCACACAGCCCCCAAAGCGGGGGGCUUUCUUGGUCACUCCUCCCCCCGACUGCAGGGGCUGGAACACCUGCUGCCUCACAACAAAUCCAGCCUCAAAUAGACAAGAGCAUCACCAGAUUCUAGCCUCUUAUACAGUAAAUACAUGAAGUCAUUCUCCACAAACAAACACAUUAUUCUGGGGACCAAGAGACUGGACAUCAACAAAGCUGGCAGCAUUUUUUUUUCUGUUUUGCUUUUCCAACUUGCAGCAGCAACCAGAACAGAAGCCCCGAGGUCCAUUUAGGGGCCCUCUUGAGCCCAUGACCACGCUGGGUGACCGGGAUGGGAGCGAAAAUAGUGACAGUUGUGCCGAGGCUGCGAGUCAGGGCAGUGAAAGAGCUGGGCUUGGAGAAACUCAUACCCAGAAGAAGUCGCACCAGGGGCUGGCUCCAGCUCAGCCUGUGCCCCGGGGACAGCUCGGUCUAGGAAGCAUGCAGAGCUGGCCCUCGCACCCCAGCCAGCGCCCUCUGGGCAGGAUGACAGGCGGCACCCACACAACACCCCUGGCACGACCCUGGAAGUUUCGGCCCUGCUCCACAGGCGCCUGGCCCUGGGAGGGCGUCCUGGGCUGCAGAGGAUCAAAGGCCAGCUCUAUUUUCGAGCUGGCCUCGCAGGAGAAUCCCAGGGUGGAAAGGAACCCAAUCCAGCCAGGUGGUGUGACGGAUCAGCUUUCAGUCCCUUCAUUCACUCGACAGCCGCUUCCGGAACACCUACUAUGCGUGGGGUAGCAGCCAGCACUGCUGGCCUGGCUCCUCCACUCCAGCCGCUGCCUGGGACCUUGGCCACGAGGCCAGCGAGGAAGGUGGCACCUAUGAAUAGCACACUGGCAGGAAGCCCCCGCAUCCUGGGCCUGGCGAGCAGCCGGCAGGCCCCACUCUAAGGAGACUCCUCUGGAAGAAAGAGAAUCUUCCAACCAGCUAAAAAGAGGGAAGAACGCAUGGAUUUAUACAGAGUGUAGGCAAGGGAUUCAAACCAAAGCAAGAGGCUCCCAGCAGCCAGAGACGGGACAAUCUGAACAUCAAAAUGAAUCAGAGUAACUACAAUGCAUGCCAACAGAGCAAGUAUAAAUUCAAAUCCACGAAUCCAUAUUGAUCAUAAACAUUUUUAAAAUCAACCUUUGAGGAGUUCCUGUUGUGGCUCAGUGGGUUAAGGACCUGAUGUUGUCUGUGUGAAGAUGUGGGUUCAAUCUUUGGCCUUGCUCAGUGGGUUAAGGAUCCAGCGUUGCCAGGAGCUGCAGUGUAGGCCACAGUGUGGCUCAGAUCCUACGUUGCAGUGGCUGUGAUGUAGGCUGGCAGCUGCAGCCUCGAUUCAACGCCUAGCCCGGAAACUUCCAUAUGUCAUGGGCCAUAAAAAGAGGGGAAAAAAAAGAAAAAGAAAUCUUUGGAAGAGCCUAUAAGAUCAAUUCAUGGCUCUCGAACUUGGCAAUAAGGGGGAAGACGAAGCUUUUUUCCUGCCUUUCCUGUAUAUACUGAACUUCAGUACCAACAAGAAGCUGACAAAGUAAAGCUUUUUUUAAAGAAUAAUUCCAUCUAAUCAAUGAAGAAGAAAAGGGAGACUUAAAAUGGCCUCACUCCACACCCCUGAUGAAAUAACGGGACCCAAGCAGUGACUGCUGAUGACAACUAAAAACCUGGCGGGAAAGCAGGCGUCUGUUGUAUUAGCCCAAGUGUAGAACCAACUAGAAAGUCACGGAAAGUGGCGGGAAACUUACAGGGAAUACAGGGCACAGAGGAGCUGGUUCAAGGACACCGUGGGGAAGCAAUCAGCGCGAGGCCAGCGAGGAAGGUGGCACCUAUGAAUAGCACACUGGCAGGAAGCCCCCCGCAUCCUGGGCCACAAGACAGAUGACCCGAUUCAAGAAGAGGUUUAAAACCCUGAAGAGACACAGAAGGCAAAUGUGAGGAACAGACCACGCUUGGAUCCUUAUUUGAACCAAUCACAACCCAAAUCAUUUACGAAACAACUGGGGAAACGCAACCAGGCACGUGGUGUCAAGGAGCUACUGUUCCUCUCUGAGGCGGGAGAACACAUCAGCUACAUGCUCAUGUUUUCAGAAGCUACUGUUCUUUUUCAGAGACGCCUAGUUCAGUGACUUCUACUGAGGUGAGAAGAUGUCGGGGAAUCGUUCCGGGUCAUUCAGGGGGUGGAGAGGGGACUGGGUGGGGAUGGUUACAGGACAAGACUGGCCCAGCGCGGGUAACUGCUGAAGCUGGGGACGGGUACACGGCGGCUCAUU
rnacentral:lncRNA from 1 species